UGAAGUGGCACAGAUGGUAGCGCAAUUGAUUCGUAAUCAAUAGGUCAGGGGUUCGAUUCCCCUCUUCA
rnacentral:tRNA from 2 species